AAUAGAUACCCGGGUAGUCCACGCUGUAAACGGUGGGUACUAGGUGUGGGGUCCAUUCCACGGGUUCCGCGCCGUAGCUAACGCUUUAAGUACCCCGCCUGGGGAGUACGGCCGCAAGGCUAAAACUCAAAGGAAUUGACGGGGCCCCGCACAAGCGGCGGAGCAUGCGGAUUAAUUCGAUGCAACGCGUAGAACCUUACCUGGGUUUGACAUGGAUCGGGAGUGCUCAGAGAUGGGUGUGCCUCUUUUGGGGUCGGUUCACAGGUGGUGCAUGGCUGUCGUCAGCUCGUGUCGUGAGAUGUUGGGUUAAGUCCCGCAACGAGCGCAACCCUUGUUCACUGUUGCCAGCACGUUAUGGUGGGGACCCAGUGGAGACCGCCGGGGUCAACUCGGAGGAAGGUGGGGAUGACGUCAAGUCAUCAUGCCCCUUAUGUCCAGGGCUUCACGCAUGCUACAAUGGCUGGUACAGAGAGUGGCGAGCCUGUGAGGGUGAGCGAAUCUCGGAAAGCCGGUCUCAGUUCGGAUUGGGGU
rnacentral:rRNA from 1 species